UCUGUCAAUUCGUCAAACUCAUUCUCUGUCCCGUUUUGUGCCCUUGCUGGAGAGGAGUUGUGAUCAUUUGGAAAAGAGACAUUCUGAUUUUUGGAAUUUUCAGCAUUUUGCCCUGGUUUUUCCUCAUCUUCUCGGAUUUAUCUACCUUUAGUCUUUGAUGUUGAUGACCUUUGGAUGCGGUUUUUGUGUGGGUGUCCUUUUUGUUGAUGUUGAUGUCCUUGCUUUCUGUUUGUUGGUUUUCCUUUUAACAGUUGGUCCCCUCUUCUGCAGGUCUGCUGGAGUUUGCUGGAGGUCCACUCCAGACCCUGUUUGCCUGGGUAUCAACAGCAGAGGCCUCAGAACAUCAAAGAUUGCUGCCUGCUUCUUCCUCUAGAUGCCCUGCCCAGUGAGGAGGAAUCUAAAGAGGAAGUCUGGCCACAGUCGCUUUUCUGUGCUGGGGUGAAUUCCACACAGUCUGAACUUCCCGGUUGCUUCCUUAACACUGUGUGGGGAAAACCGCCUACUCAAGCCUCAGUAAUGGCAGACUUCCCAACCCCCACCAAGCUCAAGCAUCUCAGGUCAGUUUCAGACUGCUGAGCUGGCAGCCACAAUUUCAAGCCAGUGGUUCUUAGCUUGCUGGAACCCAGCAAGCUAAGAGUGGGAGUGGGACCUGCUGAGUGAGACCACUUGGCUCCUUGGCUUCAGCCCCCUUUCCGGGGGUGUGAACGAUUCUGUCUCGCUGGGGUUUCAGGCGCUCCUGGGGUACGAAAAAUAAACCCCUGCAGCUAGCUCAGUGUCUGCCCAAACAGGCACCCAGUUUUGUGCUUGAAACCCAGGGCCCUGGUGGUAUAGACAUAUGAGGGAAUCUCCUGGUCUGCAGUUUGUAAAAACUGUGGGAAAACUGUAGUAUCUGGGUUGGAUAGCACAGUCCCUUGACUAGGUGAGGGAGGUCCCUGGACCCUUGCACUUCCCGGGUGAGGUGACGCCCCACCCUGUUUCUGCUUGCCCUCCAUGGGCUACACCCACUGUCUAACCAGUCCCAGUGAGAUGAACCGGGUACCUCAGUUGGAAAUGCAGAAAUCACCCGCCUUCUGUGUUGUUCUCGCAGGGAGCUGCAGAUGGGAGCUGUUGCUAUUCAGUCAUCUUGCCCAGGAACAACUAGAGUUAAAUUUAAAUACAGAAGCUGGAAAAUCUGAUAUAAAAAUCAGUUGCUGUAUUUAAGAUUUUAGGAAGAUUGACAGCUUUUCCUUUACUUUUUGUUUUCCUUUCCACCUUUCUUAAGGCUUGGUUUCAGCCCUAUUAUACAUAUUUACUUUUAUCAGAAAGGAUCAGAAAUGUUUUUUGAGUGUAAUGAACAGGCAUAAAUACUUUUUCAAAACAUUUUUCUUAAAACAUUUUUCUAAAAAUAUUUUUCUUUUUCAAAGUUUUUUUUUUUUUUUUGAGACAGAGCCUCGCUCUGUCGCCCAGGCUGGAGUGCAGUGGUGCAAUCUUGGCUCACUGCAAGCUCUGCCUCCUGGGUUCACACCAUUCUCCUGCCUCAGCCUCCCGAGUAGCUGGGACUACAGGUGCCUGCCACCACACCUGGCUAAUUUUUUUUUGUAUUUUUAGUAGAUGCGGGGUUUCACCGUGUUAGCCAGGAUGGUCUUGAUCUCCUGACCUCAUGGCAGUAGAGCUGAGUAAUUUAUAUCCUUAAUAUCAGACACUGAAUUUUGACAGUUCAAGAAGACUUUUAUACUAUAUUUCAGCAUUAAUAUGUAUGUAUUUUUCCCAGGAAAUCAAGAUUAAUGUGAUCUGGACCAAUUAAAUAAAUUUAAAGUUAUUUAAUUCGUUUAUGGAAAAAUGAUACAUUAUUUGUAGCAAAGCCAAGCCUAAAUUUUCUCUGAAGCAAAUCCUAACCCUCCAUUUACAUUUUUCUCUUUUUUCCUCUUUCUUCCCACAAACCAAGUCCUUGUUAAAACUAACGUUGCUGAAAAUUUAGUGAAG
rnacentral:lncRNA from 1 species